rnacentral:rRNA from 1 species
UACGGAGGGUGCAAGCGUUAUCCGGAUUCACUGGGUUUAAAGGGUGCGUAGGUGGGCAAGUAAGUCAGUGGUGAAAUCUCCGGGCUUAACCCGGAAACUGCCAUUGAUACUAUUUGUCUUGAAUACUGUGGAGGUCAGCGGAAUAUGUCAUGUAGCGGUGAAAUGCUUAGAUAUGACAUAGAACACCAAUUGCGAAGGCAGCUGGCUACAGGUGGAUUGACACUGAGGCACGAAAGCGUGGGGAUCAAACAGG